rnacentral:rRNA from 1 species
GGGGAAUCUUCCGCAAUGGGCGCAAGCCUGACGGAGCAACGCCGCGUGAGUGAAGAAGGUCUUCGGAUCGUAAAGCUCUGUUGACGGGGACGAACGUGCGGAGUGCGAAUAGCGCUUUGUAAUGACGGUACCUGUCGAGGAAGCCACGGCUAACUACGUGCCAGCAGCCGCGGUAAUACGUAGGUGGCGAGCGUUGUCCGGAAUCAUUGGGCGUAAAGGGAGCGCAGGCGGGCCGGUAAGUCUUACUUAAAAGUGCGGGGCUCAACCCCGUGAUGGGAGAGAAACUAUCGGUCUUGAGUACAGGAGAGGAAAGCGGAAUUCCCAGUGUAGCGGUGAAAUGCGUAGAUAUUGGGAAGAACACCAGUGGCGAAGGCGGCUUUCUGGACUGCAACUGACGCUGAGGCUCGAAAGCCAGGGGAGCGAACGGGAUUAGAUACCCCGGUAGUCCUGGCCGUAAACGAUGGAUACUAGGUGUGGGAGGUAUCGACCCCUACCGUGCCGGAGUUAACGCAAUAAGUAUCCCGCCUGGGGAGUACGACCGCAAGGUUG